GAGGCUCCUCAGCUCCUCAGGAGAAAAUCCUGGCAAAAGGAUUUUUCAGGAAAUAUCAUGGCUACCUGUGGUCACAAAAGCAUUCUCCCAGUGCUGUUACCAGUAUUCCAUAUAUUGGUUCCUGUCUUCAGUCAGUAUUUCAGAAAGUUGUUACUGUGUAAAAUGAACACUAAUAAUACUUGAAUUUUUGACAAGAAAAUGACCCAAAUAUAAACAGAUCCACUCCAAUUUGGUAAUUUUUUCUGAAGUACCACAAAGAAUGUGCAACAUCACCACACCUAUCUCCUUGCACCUUAAUGACCCCCAGCUUGGUGUUGCAGCCCCAGGAUGUUGGAAUAUUGUGACUGAAAAUGCAGGUGAUUAUUCAUCAUGGGAUUAUUCAUCAUCUGCUGGUUAUGGGCUAGGCUGGAGCACAUGACUGUAGUUACUGAGAGAACCCCUCCCUGCUUUAAGCUGAUUUCAGGUGAUUUAAGCUGCAAAUUAAAUAGACUGGGCAGGAAAGAAAAUGCUGCUGCUCCUGUUUUACUACUGAGGUGAAGAGGGAUUAAGGACUGAAUUUUUUACAGACCACUGAAGACUUACAGAGUCAAAUGGCUGCUGUGGUGCCAAGUGGGAUUUUCAAAUGCAUGAAAAUGUCCAUCUCCCACCUGAAGGACUCACACCUCGAUUUGUUUCUUUAGGUGUGUAAGCAGCUUUGAAAUCUGCUUCAAAAGCACUUGCAUGAAGCCACACAGACACUGUGGGACAGAGCACAAACCUGAUCUCAGAUCUCAUACAUUCUUGUCCUGAAUCUUAACACGGGACCUGGGCUCUUGAAAAACAGUAGAAUUCACUGAAAUAUCUCAGUUCACUAAUACUUUACUGUAUGUAGCACUUCAGCUUAUUUGUCUCUGUAGUUAUAACCUGUUAGAUCAGGAAAUGCCUUAAACAUAUGUGUGAUAAAUGUCAAGGAUUUCUCUUUCCUUUCUCAGCUCUUCUUUUCUUGUUGAUUUACUUAUAAAAAAAGAAAAAAAAGCUAGGACAAAUUACAGAGUUUUACAUUUUUUCCUGCAAACUGUGAGAUUUGUGGUCAUUUAAUCCCUCCUGGGAAGAAGCUUCCUAGUGUGUCUUUCCAUUCUGAUAAAUAUUUUUCAGGUAGAAAGCAAUAUAUUUGGAUGAAUAAAGAAUCUCAGGGAGAGCAAAAGAAAGCCAUUAGCAGCUGUGGAUAAAUCUCCUUCUCCUACAGGUUUUCCAUUACACAGUGGGCACUUCCAACACACCAUGGGAGAAUGCAUGAUUUUGAGUGCCAUUAAAUGCUGCACAGCAAAUAUUCCCCAUUCACUGCAAGCAUCCAGGGCAGCCCAUGGGAGAAGGCACUGAGUUCAAUUCUGGGAUCUUUAUUUGCUCUCUGUUCUCUUCCUUGCUUCCCCUCAGACAAUGUUCUGCUCUGAAGGAUCUCAGCAACUCCCAUUAAGGAAGCUGUGGAGAACAAGGCCCAAGUUUGUGCUUGUUUUUUGCCCUCCUCUCAUCAAGUAGCAUGUUUAAUUUCCUCUCUAUUUCUCAUUUAUUUUUUUUUAUUUGUUCACUUGCUUUUAGGGGUUUUGGGCUUUUUUUUUUUUUUUUUCAGAUGGUGGGAUCCAGGGUUUGCACAGGGAAAUAUUCCGUAGCAUUGGAAUUCUUUGGAAUUCUUAUUGCAGGUUUCCUUAAGGAUUUCAUCCUCUCUACUGCAGCUGGACUUUUAUAUUUAGAUGGAACACGACCAUUCUCUUUCAUUCAUCUUUUAUAUUGCAAACAAAAGCAAUGGAGUUGAAGUGAAUUAGGCUAUCUUGACAAUUCUGAGCAGUGAAAGCUGUGGAAGGAAGAAAUGUGACUGAAGUUCUUAUGAAGAAUCCAAGAGGAGCAAGAAAUGAGCAAGAACAGAGAUUGUGAGGAAACAAUAAAUAAGCAAUUCUUAAAGAUCAGGGCUGGGUUCCUUUGGGGUUUAGGACAGGCUGGGCUCUCUCUGAGCUCUCUGUCCCUGUAAGGAGGUUCUCAGUCCUCUGGCAAAGCUAUCAGAAGGGCAGCUGGAGUAAAUUCCCAGUUGCUACAGUAAAAAAAAAAGCUGUAAAUAAACUUUAACAAAUAGAAAUAAACUGUAACAAAUAGAAAAUCUCAAAUGGCCACAGAACUCUAAUCUGAACAACAUUUUUGCUUAAAUAUCUGUCAAAAAAGGAGAAGUCCGCAGCUCAGGUGUUAUUCUCAAAAUCUGAGAAAGCUGAAGGGGACUUCAUAGUGUGGAAGUCCAAACUUACAUUCACUUUUAAAAUUCCUUUGAUAAACUGAGUAAUGCAGAAAAUGCACUGAAAAAUCCACUAUUCUUCUAUGAUUUUAAAAAGUUGAAAAUAUUACAUAUUUUUCAACAUUUCUUUACAAAUAAAACAUAAAUCAGGUUUCAAAAUGUGACUUGCAAAUGCAAAAAUGCACCUGAAAUCUAAUUUGUAUAGUCUCUGCCAUUGAAAGCUGCUAUUCCACUUAUGAAAAGUUGGGUUAUAUUGUUGGCAUAUCAAGCCAGCCCCAUUGGCUCCUGAUAGCUCUCAUAUUAUUGCCUACUGUAAAGACAGUUUCUGGGUUUGAUUUUAAUUAUAUGUUCUUCAUUGCAAAUAUGUGCUGCCUUCCUGCUUCCAGCACAGCAGAUAAAGGACAACCAGGAUGACAGAGUUACACCAGCAAGAGGAGGAGAAACCCAGGGCCACAGUAAGAAAAGAAGUUAUUAGUGAUCUAGCAGUGAAACAGACUCUCUUUUUUAUUCUUUUCUUUUGAAUGAGUUACAGUUAUGUCCUGCAUUAAUAUUUUUGCUUAGUUUGCUGUGAAAUGCAAAUGAAAAUAAAAAAAAUACAAUUUAAAUUACUUUGAGGCUUUCUUCAUCCACCAGCCAAAUGUAUAUACCUCAGAAACUAAUAUUGCUCUUUGAUGGGAAUUGCUUAUUUUCUGUUGACAGCUUUUUAGUGAAAAAGAUAGAAAUCAGAUUGAAUUUCGGCAGUGAGAAAUUGAGAGCUUGUUCUACCAGCAGGAAUCUCAAGGCCUCUAAUUUUACCUCUGUGAGCAAAGAUGAACCAAGAAUAUCAGCAACCUACUUUCCUGCCACGGAAAGAAACACAGCACCCUAAAAGUCACAGAGACAAUCUGAAACAGAGAUUUGUCCAAACUUCAGUGAUUUCACCUCAGCUUAAACACGGCAAUAUAUAAGCACAGCAGAGACACUGGGGUUUGUGGUUUGGGCCCCAGCAGUGUGGCAGCUGCCUGUGGAAUAAAGCACAUCUUGUCUUUGCUCACGCACGUGGGGCUCAGCUGUGACCCUUCCUGAUGACCCCAAAUCCCAGCCAGGCACCAAUCCUGCACCACUCAGCCCUGGGAGCAGGGCUUUAGCACCCACAGGGAAUUUCUCCUGCCUCCCUCUGUUCCUCAGGAGACCUUAAGGUUAUUUAUAUAAAAUGUAUUUUUAUUGUUUUAUAUUUCAAUCAACAGGAAUAUGAACACUGCUGUUGACAUGAGCUCCAGAGAAUCAGAAUGAGAUCAUUAAAAUAUAAAUAUCAAAGCAUUUUGUCUACUUUGCAGUGCAUGGCAGCAUUUUUCUGCUUUGUCCAUUUAUGUGUCCUAUUCUGAGUAAUCCAACAUUGCUUUUUGUCUCUGCAAUAUAUCUUCAUAACAGUUCUUCCUAUGCAGCAGCGUCAGGAACCAGAUCAGGCUAAUUCUUUACCAUCAAUUGUAUUUUCUUGUGCCCUAAUGCUAUUAUUUCAUGCUCACUCCUUUCCUCAUGGUAUUUUUGCUGUGUCAUCUUUCAUCUUUAUCAUAUUGUUUUACUUCCUUUCAUCUUGCAAUUUUCUGUCAAAUGAUUGUGUCACCUCAACUAUCAGAUAUGUGCUCUGGCACAAUGGUUCACAGCAUGUUUCCACCUAAAAAAUCCCACCAAAUUGUAAUCUUCACACCGAUUUAUGAUAAAAUAGUACAUUUGCUUCUUGUGAUAAAGUGCUAAUUUUUUUUUGUUUUAACAUCAAAAAGGUGGUUUUUGAUCACAAAAAUCCUGAUAAAAAUUAAUUAACCAUCCCAAGUACUGUACAACAAGGAAAACCAUAAGGAUUUCUCUCUCUUUCACAAUUUCUAUUUUAUAGUCCCCACUAGAGAUUGGCUACUUUAAAAAACCUUACUGCAACUCGAGAGGAAAAUUUUCAUCUCAGAAGUGGGUGAGUUACGCAAAGCUGAACCCAGCACAGAACUGUGGCUCCUACCAAUUGGGUUUCCCAGGGCAUAAGGAAGAGCUCCAGUUCUGGAUCAUGGCUGUGCUCAUGCUGGCUUUGAGCAGACCAGCCCUGCCAGAGCCAGGGCUGCUGGCACUGAAUUGGGUUACUGGGGUUUUAUGUAAGGUGCCACCGAAGCUGGCAGUUCACUAGCAAGUCCUGUGGGAGCAGGUGAUGCGGUGGCAUUUUUGCCCUGUGCUCUGUUUCCCCAGCCCUUCAGCAGUCCUUUCCUGCUGGGGAGGGCAGGGUGUGCCCACAAGGCAGCCAGGGCUCUUAGAAACUCAGGCUGUGCUCAUCAGAGAGGCUCCUGUCUGCUCCUGCCCUUGAUUUCCCUCUGCAGCUGGCAGAGGUGGCUGAAUUCACACCAAUUCACUCCCUACCAACCACUGGAUUAAUUGGCAUCAAAAUAGGGAGGUCUGAGCUAGAGCAGCUGAGAAAUUAGGCACAUUGCCUGUUGUGUUGUCUACAAGGUCAGUAUUCCCUUAAAGACGAGACCUGUGGAUUUAAUCUCCUAAAUCCAGCCAUAAAGCUGAUGAGACAGAGCCUUUGAGCACUGGAGCUCUGGCUGUGGAGAUGCUGAGGAGAUGAUUUGACAUCAAAUGGUCUCCCAGUGUUGUAACAGGGACAGAAACUUUCAGUCAGAGCAGCAACAGCAGCUCAAAGCACCUUUGGAAAAUUCCAUCAAGGGUUACUUGCUAUGUACACCCCCUCUGCCCUGCUGGAGAGAUCCAGGGGCCUCAGAAAGCAAAGUGAAUUGCUUGGCAUCCAGCUCCAUGGUCUCUCUCCAGACAGAUGACAGCAGCAGAAAAUUGGGUUCCACAUUUACAAACUUAGUACACUAACUUAAAUCAAAGUCAGCCUUGUUCUGCAGACAGGUUUUCCCAUGUUCUCACACCUCUACUUUUAAUUAAAAUGCUGACAAUCAGGGAUAAGGGGAACAAAAUACAAAGGUAAUCAUGUACAGAAAAACAUAUUUCACCAGAGCAUAAGCUAUUAGCACUUCCUCGGCUAUCUGAUCAUCUGACAGGCUUAAGGGGAACAGUGAUGUGAAUUUCAAAUCUCCAGCUGCUCCCCCAGGAGCCUCUGUCUCAUACAGUUUGUACUGAAGUGAGACAGUAGAAUACAAAAAUGCAGGAAAGGAAAGCACAUAAUGCUGCAGGAUGGAUAAACACAGGAACAAGGCUAAAUUCAACUCUCUUUCAGUGCCGUUGCCUUUGAUGCAUGCGGUGGCUUAGGAACAUCUGUCUCAGAGUGGCAUAAUCCCACACCUGAACCAGCAUUUGUCACUCCUGGAUGUUUAGCUCUGUAGGACUCAAUCCAUUCAGGAAAUUAAGCAGAUGUCUAAUGCUGAACAGAUGAGCACUUUCACUGAAGUCAAAACAAUUACGAUUAAAUGUUCCCCCUUGCUCAACUCAGCCUGAGUGAGGAGCUUGUUUCAGAGGGCUCUGAAUGGCCUGGCCACAAUGCAGACUGUCCUUUUUCCACCAAAGCACCCUGAGCUGGCUCUG